CUUUCUUUCUUUCUAUUUUUUUUUUCUUUUUACAGAGUCUCCCUCUGUCCCCCAGAAUGGAACAGUCAUGGAUCCUGACUCACUGCCACCUUGACUUCCGGGACUCAAGGAAUCCCCCCACCUCUGCCUCCUAAAGUGCUGGGAUUACAGGCCAGGCAUGAGCCACCAGCUGGGCUAGAAUUUACAUUUUUAACAGGUUCCCAAAUGCAAGUUGAUGCUGCUGGUCUAGGGACGCAUCUUGUGAAUCUGUACAGUGAUAAACCUGCACUUGAGAAGCCCCCAAAUGAGUGCUGCAGACCAGGUUCUGAAUGUGACUCGGUGACAGCUUGAGGUCUUCUCAACAUCACCAGGACAGGACCUGGGCUUGAGGACCAUCUGUCAUCUCACUCUGGAUCACCUCCCUUCCCUCCAUGACUCAGGGAGAAAGAACCCAGGCCUUCAACUCCUAGCUACGGCCCCUUCCUGGAAAAAUAUCUGUUAGAUUAAAAGUUCACAUACCAGCUUAGCUACUUACCUGGUAUGGAACCCUAGACAAGCUACUUAACUUCUCUGUGCCUCAGUUUCCUCAUCUAACAAAUGGAGAUAACAUUAUCUUCCUCAUAUUUAUUAUAAGAAUUCAGCGCAAACACACGUAAAGAGAUUGGAAGAGUGCCAGUCACAUAAUAAACAUUCAGAA